UGUGAACUCGAAGAGUAGGGCGGGACACGUGGUAUCCUGUCUGAAUAUGGGGGGACCAUCCUCCAAGGCUAAAUACUCCUGACUGACCGAUAGUGAACCAGUACCGUGAGGGAAAGGCGAAAAGAACCCCGGCGAGGGGAGUGAAAAAGAACCUGAAACCGUGUACGUACAAGCAGUGGGAGCACCUUCGGGUGUGACUGCGUACCUUUUGUAUAAUGGGUCAGCGACUUAUAUUCUGUAGCAAGGUUAACCGUAUAGGGGAGCCGCAGGGAAACCGAGUCUUAACUGGGCGUUAAGUUGCAGGGUAUAGACCCGAAACCCGGUGAUCUAGCCAUGGGCAGGUUGAAGGUUGGGUAACACUAACUGGAGGACCGAACCGACUAAUGUUGAAAAAUUAGCGGAUGACUUGUGGCUGGGGGUGAAAGGCCAAUCAAACCGGGAGAUAGCUGGUUCUCCCCGAAAGCUAUUUAGGUAGCGCCUCGUGAAUUCAUCUUCGGGGGUAGAGCACUGUUUCGGCUAGGGGGUCAUCCCGACUUACCAACCCGAUGCAAACUACGAAUACCGAAGAAUGUUAUCACGGGAGACACACGGCGGGUGCUAACGUCCGUCGUGAAGAGGGAAACAACCCAGACCGCCAGCUAAGGUCCCAAAGUCAUGGUUAAGUGGGAAACGAUGUGGGAAGGCACAGACAGCCAGGAUGUUGGCUUAGAAGCAGCCAUCAUUUAAAGAAAGCGUAAUAGCUCACUGGUCGAGUCGGCCUGCGCGGAAGAUGUAACGGGGCUAAACCAUGCACCGAAGCUGCGGCAGCGACACUAUGUGUUGUUGGGUAGGGGAGCGUUCUGUAAGCCUGCGAAGGUGACCUGUGAGGGUUGCUGGAGGUAUCAGAAGUGCGAAUGCUGACAUAAGUAACGAUAAAGCGGGUGAAAAGCCCGCUCGCCGGAAGACCAAGGGUUCCUGUCCAACGUUAAUCGGGGCAGGGUGAGUCGACCCCUAAGGCGAGGCCGAAAGGCGUAGUCGAUGGGAAACAGGUUAAUAUUCCUGUACUUGGUGUUACUGCGAAGGGGGGACGGAGAAGGCUAUGUUAGCCGGGCGACGGUUGUCCCGGUUUAAGCAUGUAGGCUGGUNNNNNNNNNNNNNNNNNNNNNNNNNNNNNNNNNNNNNNNNNNNNNNNNNNNNNNNNNNNNNNNNNNNNNNNNNNNNNNNNNNNNNNNNNNNNNGGUUAUCCAGGCAAAUCCGGAUAAUCAAGGCUGAGGUGUGAUGACGAGGCACUACGGUGCUGAAGUAACAAAUGCCCUGCUUCCAGGAAAAGCCUCUAAGCAUCAGGUAACAUUAAAUCGUACCCCAAACCGACACAGGUGGUCAGGUAGAGAAUACCAAGGCGCUUGAGAGAACUCGGGUGAAGGAACUAGGCAAAAUGGUGCCGUAACUUCGGGAGAAGGCACGCUGGUGUGUAGGUGAAGUCCCUGCGGAUGGAGCUGAGACCAGUCGAAGAUACCAGCUGGCUGCAACUGUUUAUUAAAAACACAGCACUGUGCAAACACGAAAGUGGACGUAUACGGUGUGACGCCUGCCCGGUGCCGGAAGGUUAAUUGAUGGGGUUAUCCGUAAGGAGAAGCUCUUGAUCGAAGCCCCGGUAAACGGCGGCCGUAACUAUAACGGUCCUAAGGUAGCGAAAUUCCUUGUCGGGUAAGUUCCGACCUGCACGAAUGGCGUAAUGAUGGCCAGGCUGUCUCCACCCGAGACUCAGUGAAAUUGAACUCGCUGUGAAGAUGCAGUGUACCCGCGGCAAGACGGAAAGACCCCGUGAACCUUUACUAUAGCUUGACACUGAACAUUGAGCCUUGAUGUGUAGGAUAGGUGGGAGGCUUUGAAGCGUGGACGCCAGUCUGCGUGGAGCCAACCUUGAAAUACCACCCUUUAAUGUUUGAUGUUCUAACGUUGGCCCCUUAUCGGGGUUGCGGACAGUGUCUGGUGGGUAGUUUGACUGGGGCGGUCUCCUCCCAAAGCGUAACGGAGGAGCACGAAGGUUAGCUAAUCCUGGUCGGACAUCAGGAGGUUAGUGCAAUGGCAUAAGCUAGCUUGACUGCGAGCGUGACGGCGCGAGCAGGUGCGAAAGCAGGUCAUAGUGAUCCGGUGGUUCUGAAUGGAAGGGCCAUCGCUCAACGGAUAAAAGGUACUCCGGGGAUAACAGGCUGAUACCGCCCAAGAGUUCAUAUCGACGGCGGUGUUUGGCACCUCGAUGUCGGCUCAUCACAUCCUGGGGCUGAAGUAGGUCCCAAGGGUAUGGCUGUUCGCCAUUUAAAGUGGUACGCGAGCUGGGUUUAGAACGUCGUGAGACAGUUCGGUCCCUAUCUGCCGUGGGCGCUGGAGAAUUGAGGGGGGCUGCUCCUAGUACGAGAGGACCGGAGUGGACGCAUCACUGGUGUUCGGGUUGUCAUGCCAAUGGCACUGCCCGGUAGCUAAAUGCGGAAGAGAUAAGUGCUGAAAGCAUCUAAGCACGAAACUUGCCCCGAGAUGAGUUCUCCCUGAGACUUUAAGUCUCCUGAAGGAACGUU
rnacentral:rRNA from 1 species